GGGGAAUAUUGCGCAAUGGGGUAAACCCUGACGCAGCAAUACCGCGUGAGUGAAGAAGGUUUUCGGAUCGUAAAGCUCUGUUAUUGGGGAAGAAAAAAAGACGGUACCCAAGAAGAAAGUCCCGGCUAACUACGUGCCAGCAGCCGCGGUAAUACGUAGGGGACAAGCGUUGUCCGGAUUUACUGGGCGUAAAGGGCACGCAGGCGGUUUUUUAAGUCAGAUGUGAAAGGUACCGGCUCAACCGGUGACAUGCAUUUGAAACUGAAAGAACUUGAGUAUUGGAGAGGCAAGUGGAAUUCCUAGUGUAGCGGUGAAAUGCGUAGAGAUUUGGAGGAACACCAGUGGCGAAGGCGACUUUCUGGUCUGAAACUGACGCUGAGGCGCGAAAGCAUGGGGAGCAAACA
rnacentral:rRNA from 1 species